GAACGCUGGCGGCAGGCCUAACACAUGCAAGUCGAGCGGUAACAGAAAGAAAGCUUGCUUUCUUUGCUGACGAGCGGCGGACGGGUGAGUAAUGCCUGGGAAUAUGCCUUAGUGUGGGGGAUAACUAUUGGAAACGAUAGCUAAUACCGCAUAACGUCUUCGGACCAAAGAGGGGGACCUUCGGGCCUCUCGCGCUAAGAUUAGCCCAGGUGGGAUUAGCUAGUUGGUGAGGUAAAGGCUCACCAAGGCAACGAUCCCUAGCUGGUCUGAGAGGAUGAUCAGCCACACUGGAACUGAGACACGGUCCAGACUCCUACGGGAGGCAGCAGUGGGAAUAUUGCACAAUGGGGGAAACCCUGAUGCAGCCAUGCCGCGUGUAUGUAGAAGGCCUUCGGGUUGUAAAGUACUUUCAGUCGUGAGGAAGGGUGUGUAGUUAAUAGCUGCAUGCCUUGACGUUAGCGACAGAAGAAGCACCGGCUAACUCCGUG
rnacentral:rRNA from 1 species